CAGAUAGGAUGUUCUGGAUUGCAUGCAUUUUCCAAAAAGGACUGCAAAAAUAUCUGCCAUCAUACUCGGUUUUCUUUAGUCUGACCCACCUUUCCCUCAUCAAGAGGCUAGCAGGCUGGAAAGUCAGUCUCAAAUGGAAGACCAGGCUGGAAGACUGGAAACCUAAACUGUAGUUGCUACUGUCAUCUUGAGGAAGAAUUUUUUCUUCUCUGAGAAGACUCACAUUUUACCCAAAGUCCUUCACCUGAUUGAAAAAGUCCUACGCAUAUUUUUAAGGAUCCUGAUACUGUUCCUCCUGACUGGGCAAGACCUCCCAGCCAGGGUCUCCAGCACUUCCUACAGGUGUGUUCAGGCCGGCAACAGCUGGAACUGACCUCCCAGAAGAAGAAGAUUGCCAUUUUUGCUGUUACAUAACCUUCACUGGUAAUACCUCCAGGUACUGAAAAAUCUGAGGCAACUAGGGACUGGAUCAUCAUCCCCUCAGAGAACUGCAGCAGCCCUACAGAAAAGUGGCCAAACUGUUAAAAGAUAAAACGAAAGAAGAGAAAAACAAAAUAUACUCAAAUGUUAGCAACCUCAAAGACCGAAGGUAGAAAACCUGCAAAAAUGAGAAGGAAUCAGAAACACAUGCUUAAAACUCAAAAUCACAGCAAGGGUAUGGAACCGGGCUAAGGCUGAGAUGGCUGAAACAACAGAAUAUGGAUACAAACGAAGUUCAUUGUGCUAAAAAAGUCCACUUAAUCCAAAGCAAGGAAGCUAAAAAUCAUGAUAAAACAUUGCAAGAGCUCACAGACAAAAUAGCCAGUAAAAGGAAGAAUGUAACCAAUCUGAUAGAGCUGAAAAACACACUAUAAGAAUUUCAUAGUGCACUCACAAGUAUUAAGAGCAGAAUAAAGCAAGUGGAGGAAGAAAAUCUCAGUGCCUGAAGACUGGCUUUCUGAAAUAAGACAGGAAAGCAAGAAUAGAAAAAACAAGAAUGAACAGGCAUGACCAAAACCUCUGAAAAACAUGGAAUUAUGUAAAGAAACCAAAUCUAGGAAUGAUUGGCAUACCAGAAAGAGGUGGGUAGAACAAAAACAAUUUAGAAAAUGUUUCAGGACGUCAUCCAUGAGAACUUCUCCAAGCUAGCUAGACGGGCCAACAUUCAAAUUCAGAAAUGCAGAGGACCCCAGUAAGUUACUCCAUGAGAAUAUCAUCCCCAAGACACAUAAUCAUCAGAUUCUCCAAGGUUGAAAUGAAAGAAAAAAUGUCAAGGGCAGCCAGAGAGAAAGGCCAGAUCAUCUACAAAGGGAAGUCCAUCAGACUAACAGUUGAUCUCUCAGUGGAAAUCCUACAACCUAGAAGAGAUUGAGGGCCAAUAUUCAACAGUCGUAAAGAAAAGAAUUUCCAAGCCAGAAUUUCAUAUCCAACCAAACUAAGCUUCAUAAGCAAAGGAGAAAUAAGAUUCGUUUCAGACAAAUGCCGAGGUAAUUUAUUACUACCAGACCUGCAUUACAAGAACUCCUGAAGGAAGUAAUAAAUAUGGAAAGACAGUUACCAGACACUACAAAAACACACUUCAGUACGUAGGCUGGUGACACAAUAAAGCAACCACAUAAGCAAGUCUGCAAAGUAACCUUCUAACAUCAUGAUGACAGGAUCAAAUCCAUACAUAUCAAUGCUAACCUUAAAUGUAAAUUGUCUAAGUGCUCCAUUUUAAGAAACAUAGAGUGGCAAGCUGGAUAAAGAACCAAGACCUAUCAGUAUGCUCUCUUUAAUACAUCCAUCUCACAGGCAAUGACACACAUAUGCUCAAAAUAAAAAGAUGGAGGAAAAUUUACCAAGCGAAUGGAAAGCAAAAAAAAAAGCCAAGGCUGCAAUCCUAGUUUCUGACAUAACAGGAGUUAAACCAACAAAGAUUUAAAAAGAUAAAGAAGGGUAUUACAUAAUGGUAAAGGGUUCAAUUCCACAAGGAGCUCUAACUCCUUAAGAGCCUUAGAAACUCAAACAAUAAUAGUGAAAGAUUUUAAUAUUUCACUGACAAUAUUAGACAGAUCAUCAAGUCAGAAAAUUAUCAAAGAUAUUCAGGACCUUAACUCAGCCCUGGCUCAAAUAGACCUGAGAAAUACCUACAGAACUCUUUACCCGAAAACAGCAGAAUAUACAUUUUUCUUAUUGACACAUGGCAUUUACUCUAAAAUGGAUCACACAAUUGGAAUCGAAAUGCUUCCCCACAAAUGCAAAAGAAUUGAAAUCAGAACAAACAGUCUCUUGGACCACAGUGCAAUCAAAUUCAAAAUCAAGACUAAGAAAUUCACUCAAACCAUACAAUUACAUAGAAAUUGAAUGACCUGUUCUUGAAUGACUUUUGGGGAAAUGAUGAAAUUAAGGCAAAAAUCAGGAAGUUCUUUGAAGAUAAUGAGAACUAAGAUACAAUGUACGAGAAUCUUUGGGAAACAGCUAAGACCCUGUUGAGAGGGAAAUUUAUAGCAUUAAAUGCCCCCAUCAAAAAGUUCAAAAGAUUUCAAGUUAACAACCUAAAAUUGACAAAGGGAAUCUAAUUAAACUAAAGAGUUUCUGCACAGUAAAAGAAACUAUCGAUAUAGUAACACCUUUCUUUAAAGCUUUACCCCGAUGCAUACAUCUCUAAAACAACACAGGUUUUCUCAAACUUUAAAUUUUGUUUUCCAUACAAAUGACAUCAUGCUGUCUGUAUUCUUACAAGACCUUAUUGUAGAUCAAAUGCUAAGUUGUUAUCAGUGUCUGUAGAGUGUUCAUGAUUACUAUUUGUAACA